UACUUAUUCUCAGGAGAUUCUGAAGCAAAGUAGGAAGCUAUUUUAUUGUGAAUUAUGACAGAAACUGCAGAAAAGAGUAAACAACAAAAACCCUACUGUUUACCAUCAGAUGCCUAAAUAAAUAAGAUUUCAUGGACCAGAACGCUCUGAGAUGAAUAACUGAUGAUGCUGUGAAACAUCUGAAAUUCCAUGUAUGAUUCACAAUCUAGAAUUAAACCUCUGCAAAGUUGUAUUUUAAAGUCUUACUGUUCACAGACACAGUGUUUCAAGAGUCCUGCCACACUGAGGAAUACUUCCUGGUUCACUGUUGCCUGUUCAAAUUUGCAGGACAUGAAAAAUGCCCAUAAAAAAAAAUUAAGGCCUGCAAAGAAUAGUUUAUAGAUGUUUAGUCUGUUGAUUCUGCAGUCCUUCCUUACCUCAAGAUUCCUAAAAGCAAGUGAAAUAAGACUGAGCUUAUUUUCACUUCAGUUAGGGAAGAGAACUCACUGACUUUUCUUCCUCCAAAAACAGGUGAUUCUUUGCUGUAAGAAAUAAUUUCUUAACUUGUAAAAGAGAAGGAAGAAAGAGGGCAAAAUUCUUAAUCUUUCUCCAAUUCCUUCUCUGUAUAGCACUUCUUGCAGGACUGAACAUUGGCAGUGGGAAGAAGGCAAAGACAGUCUGUUCUUUCAGAUAACAGUGGCCUAGUUACGGGGUAAUAAAAUGUUUGUGUGUUUUUUUUUUUUAUCUUAAGUGGGUAAUGAUGAAGCUGGAUAUGUAUGCAUUAAGAUCAAAGGUGGGAAAUAGUAAAAGGGUUCUGAUUUGAGAUGUUGUUGUAGGGAUAUUUUUUUUUCUAAAAGUAUUGAUAGGUCUUCUGACUUUAAAUAAAUAUUUAUUUACUAGUUGCUUAGCCAGACAGGAGGUCUAACUGUUUUCGAGUUUAUGUAUGAUUAAAACUUCAAUCUUUCACACAAUUACCUAUCCUGGCCUUAUUCUAGUCUUCUGGUCAAUUUCCUUCUCAAAAAUAUUUUCAGUCUUAGGUAGGGCUGGUCGUUUAAGUUUGAAUUGUGUUAUUUAAUGAAAUAAAUGGAUUUUUUUUUUUCCUUCAAGGACACCUGUAAUAGUUAUAGUUCAUUUGAUAAAACUAGUGAGUACUCACCAAUGCAACGGGACUAUUUCACGAUAAGCCAAAAAAAAAAAAAAAAGCUGGGAAAAACAGUGUUAUGAACUCAGUUGCACAGCAGAUUUUAUGAUGCUGAACAUAUACUUGCCAAAGGUGACUUAUUUUGUUAAGCUACCAUAUGAAAGUUUUAGCUUUGCUGUGUAGUGAAUAAAAGGUGUAGUGUAUCUAUCUUCAGUUACAGUAAUACCAUCGCAAGCCAGCUCAGGAGUAUGCAUGCCAAGUUCAUGCUUAAGUUGACUAUGUGCUGAAGUGCUUUUCUGAAUCAGAGCCAUAAUUGCAGCAAUGUAUUUAGAUCAUAAUGUAGUUCCUUAAAGGAAAACGAAUUCCAGAAUGAAUGACAUUUUAAAAAGCCAACACUUCUUUCUUAGAAUCUUGUCUCUAUGAUAGGCUUUACUUCUGCCCUUUUUUUUAUAUUCUGGCACGAGUAAGUAUGUACAUGAAUACACAACAUAAAUAAUAAUAGGUUGCAAAUUCUAUUAAAAUGGCAAUGGUUUUCCCGUCAUUGUUGCAUAUCCUUCUUUAAAUGUCUCAUGCUACUAGUAAGUCAAGAUAUCACAGUCUUUGGAAGUGUGACCUGGAAAUUAGGCAGUGAGCAGUGGAAAUUAACCCUACCGUUCUGAGACUAACCAAGCUUUCAAAUAUACCAUCUAUAAGAGUACACAAAGCCAACCAGAGGUACUCAGUAUAAUAAGUCUGUAGAUGGAAUAGAAAGGGGAUGUGGGAUGGAAUGACUGGCUGGCAGUGCUGGCAGCUGUGGGGAAUCUUCCCUCUGGGAUGCUUUCUCAUGUGCAUUUGUUCUCUUUGCCUUUGUUACUGCGUCAGCGAUUGAGCUGCUGGACAUCCAUUUGCCAGAACACAUCAUCUUGUUCUGUCUUGACAGUGAAUGAGCAGGUGGCAGUGAUUACACAGUGCCAAUUUCGAGUGCAUCCAAGGAGCAGGCUAGGGGCAACAUGACCUAUUUGUUUUGCAUAAAACCAAGUCAUUACAGAAGUUCACACACCUACUCAGGCACUUUUCAGAGUAGCUUAUCAGUCUCAAUCAUCUGCCUUAGCUGUCACAAACCCUGCAGCAAAUAUCAUCUAAAUAGCAAUGCGCUUGAACUGGUUAGAAAACCAAGGCGAAAUGAAAAAGGCCAAGGGUGAAGAACAAUUUUUUGUGAUUACAUCAUUUGUUGGCUAGAAUGCUUGGUAACUGUGUUUGUGAGGAAGGUUAUUUCUGUUGUUGGUGGGAUUUUUUAAAAUGAAAGACAUGAACUCUGAAAAUAGUGUUGAAUAUAAAACUGUAAGGCACUUAACCUGAACUGAUGGAGUUUGCACUUGAUAUGACAAUUCCCAUAAUGUAUAUACGUAUUUUGCUUUGAUAGAGGUAUACUACAUGACUACUAGUGAACUAUUUUUACCCCACUUGUGUGCUUUAUAGUUGGACAUAUUUAUCUCAAAGAAACAUUUUAACCUAGGGAAAGGGCAAGACAAUCUGUGUUGCACAUGCACAGAAUAAAAAAUUACAGAUCAGACAGAUGACAAACAGGGAUAGCUACAGAGAUAAGUGAUAUUUCCUAGAACUGGAAUAUUUCUUGAUAUUUGUCUUCCUUUAAUCCCUUCUGAAACUCCUUUAGAAAUGAACAUUUAGCUAUUUUAAGGAUCUUUUGAAAAAAAAAUCAAUUAUUGUAUGGAUUAAAUACAUUAACAUUGCGUUUUUAAUAUUUAAUUCCCUUGUUCUAUCUGUUUAUUCACAGGCGGGCUGGUAAAACUGAACUACUGGUAAAGUGUUUAAUGGAAGCUGUUAAAUGAAAGAUUAUUGUAUCUUUUUUAAAAUAUAGUUUGAUUGCAUAUGGGAACUGAAUGCAAGGCUUGGCCAAUGGGUGUGACAACAGCAAAUUGGAGGAGAGAAAGCUGAACGUGAAUUUUUGUAAGAUGGGAAAUAUAAGGAGAGGGUCAGACUAGAGGGGAGUUUAUCUUAAGUACCACAUCUUUGAAAAACAACACUUUGAAGUGUUUUCUCUAACCCUUUCAAAGGGAUAGAGACUGAAAAAAGAGCAAGAGUUAGCUAGAGGAUAAGUACUAGGAGGAUAAGCCAGCUGGAAGAUAAAACUCUCUUUGUAGCAACUGUGUUUGAGCCCUUUAAAAUCUAGCCGAUUGGGUAGGAGGCACAACAAUUGAAGUGUUAAACACACAGCACAAAGGUAUAACACAGUGGUCCAAACACCACUCCUGUGUGCCUGUAAUGUGAAAUGAUGGCUUCUAUGUGUUCUAUACAUGUGGAAUUAUUAACAAAGUAUUUGAGAAUAGUUAUUAAUAAAAUGCCAUCGGAGUGUUUUUUAAAUUCUAUGAACAGGGAUCAAUUUAUCAGCUACUGAAAUGCAGUCACUGUUAUGAUGUCAUUUCAACUGCAGUGGAAUUCAGUUAAAGGGAAUGCAGUUUCUUAUGGGACUGAGACAAACAACCAUGGAAACCUAAGGGCCUGUUCAGCAAUAAAUGAGCUCAGUAGACAUCAUCAGGACUGAUUUUAAAGCAAAAUUGUUAUAACCAGAAAUAAAGAAUAGUAGCAUAAACCAAGAAACAACUGGAAAGUUGCAUCAUUUAUUUAGUCAUCUUCCAAACUACCUAUUUGCACUUUCUGUCCAGAACUGGGGGGAAAAAAAAAAAAAAAAAAAAAAAAAAAAGGCCUGAAAUCUAAUCCUUUUUCCCCCAUGUCUGAGAAGUAAUUGACACAAUCUUGAAGGACAUGCAUUAAGAAAACAUUAGUUGGGUUGAUAUAUGACAAAAAUGUAGAUUUUGCAUGAAUUUGUCAUUUCUUUUUUCAGCCCUCUGAUUUCGUCCAUAUUUACCUACCUUUCAUGCUAACAGUCCUUUGGAAUCUGCCAUCUCCUUUCUCCUUUUGAAGUUUAUUGAGAUAUUCCAUGCCCCCUGUAACUUGAGUCAACAUGUUUAAUGAGUUUAUUCUCAUUUUUCUCUGAAAAAAACCACCACAAACCCCAUAUUUUUUUCAAAAACCUCAGUUAAAUUUUCUGCCUUUAAUAAACAUUAACUUCUUCAGUUGCUGCCAGUGUUUCAAUGCUGGCUCGUCUCCUGGAAGGUAUAGAUUGCCUGGGCAUUAAAAACCAAUUUAUCUGAAACUACCUUAAAGAUCUGAUUUGUAAGAUGAGCCUGAUGUUUGUAAGUGGAGUGUCAGUCUAGGAAUAAAUGAAGAAUGGAAACUUUCUGCCAAGAUGGUAUUUUUCUGCUUGUAUACGUGUGUGUGUUUCAAAUAGUGCUUUGACAGCUCUGUGGAGGUGGAAGAGCUUGAGCAAACUGUGAAAGAUAAUCUGAUGUAUUUACUGUGAACAGGUUGCAACAAUACCAACAAUCAGGAACGGAUAAGAGGAAAGCUCAGCACGGGGUUUGGUGGGAUAAUAAGUUUUUUGAUCUUUGAAAAAAAUAGAACAGUUUAUCGAAGAAAAAGGAGUUUAAGUUUAAAGUAUAAAAAAAAAGUUUUUAGUAAAAUAUGUGCUCUUCAAUUUUCUAUUACUAAAUUGGAACAAACAGGUUUGCCAGAGUCAUUUUAUUCUUUUCUUACUUGUACUAUCUUUGUUUUGCAAACAGAGUGAACAGUUUGCCUCUGCAAUCUGAUAGACUCUAAUUUACAAUGUCAUGCUAGUUAUGUAUCUAAAUUCCAUGGAUUGCAAUUAUUGCAGAAUGACAUUUAAAAAGCACUGCAGUUUAAUGCAGAUUCACCGGAACUAGUGUUGAAUUAGAAAAAAUAUUCUUUAUAGCAUCUCCCGAGGGACUCUGAAUGUUUUUUUUAGCUAUGUAGUCAUUUUUUUUUCUCAUUUGUGUCCAUAACAUGAACAAUAUUUGGAUUUCUACCCAGUUCUUUAUACUCUGGAUGUUAGCAGAGAAAGCAGGUACAUUUGAUGUUAGUCUUCAUGUUCAGCUAUGUUCUUGUCCUGAGGAUACUAACAGCUGUUAAGAUUUCAUAAGACAGAAAGGUAUUCCAAAAUGUGGGUCUACUCUAUCAAACACUUUGGUCUAUCAAACCAAAGAUCUACCAAAUAUCUGUGGUCUAUCAAUUGCCUUUGAAAUUUAGUCCUGCUAUUGACUGAGAAUUCAUUUAAAGUACUUUUCCAUCAGGGACUUCAGAAUAAAUGGUCUACAUAGAAUUUAAUGAUCCUGAAUCCAGCUUGUUCUUCUUCAAGAUUGCUAUACAUUGUUUACUAGAGUAGUAUUAUUUCUUUUGAGUUUUUGAAAUCAAUGAGAAAUUUCAGGUUUAUUCCACAUAUCCAACUAUUAUCAUAUAUCUGUUUUCACAUUGUGCUUUUACACUACAAGGCACACUUGCUUUUCAGUGUUUUAUCUACUUUCAUAUUCUUUGCCUCUCCAAACUUUUAAUUUUACCUGGUAUUCUUUUCUAGUACUCUUCUUUGGCUAGCUUCCUUGUCUUAGACUUGAAGUACUGAAGUUUGAAUUCCAUUUUGCAACUCGUUUUUCUUCCAUUGUAGUUUUUACCUCUGUCUCUCAUAGGCGCUCAGUGUAUCUUGAGAUUUCUUUUUCGGAUUUAUUUUCAGUUUGGCAAAGUUAAGAUUGUGGCUGUUCUUGAUAUGACUGUUCAAUGUGCUUUUACAUUUGUUUGAAUAUAAUCUAUUUGAUUUUCUGAUUCACCAUCUGGUGAGUUUGUGUUUGUUAGGUAACAUGAAGUUGGAAAGAACUAGGCUGUUCACUAAACACAAAUCAAUGAGUUUCUCAUCAUUUUGAUGACAGUUUCCUUCCAAUACUUUCCCACUGUUCCAUUUCUUCAUUGUAGCAUCCUAAACAGAAGGUAAAUGGUGUUUUGGUACUUUCAAACAAGCAAUGGGUGAAAAUGUGAAAGACACCUUUGCUCCUUCUGGUUAUGUUUCUGUGUAAGGGAAUAGCAUGGCUCAAUUGACAUCCUUCAUGUCCUCUUGUUGAGUUUGGAAUUGUAUUGGUUGUAGAAAACAGAUGGCAGGCCAGCUGAAUGGCACUGUGAACGCAAUUGUCUUGAAGAUUUUUUUGUCACUGAAGCAUAUAUAGAUAAAAAUAGAGAUACCUGAAAUAUAUUCUGUCUAUGCCACUCCUUCAUUACCACUGGUGGCCUGGAUUCCUAUCUAUAAUUGUGUAUUUAUCUAGAAAUAAUGCAUUUUCCUACUGAUAACAUGAUUAUUUUGAGGAAUCUGCUUUCUAGAGUUUUGUUUGUUUGCUUAUCCAUUUUACUUUUGGGUGGGGUUUCCUUAUUUGUUUUGUUUUGUUUUCUGGAGCUUUAGUAUAAUGUAGAGAUUGAUUAAGUUUUUGUGAGUGGCCAUAUUACUAGAAUGGUAAUUUAUCACCUUAUGUCUAACUAGCAAAAUUUUUAAAAGUGAAGCUUUCAUUUCACAUUUACAUACAUUUACAUUUAUCCAGGCUUAGGAAAGCAGCUAUACAAAGUAAUCCCAUCAGCAGAGCAAUUAUUUUGUAAUAUUGUUGUGACAUAGUUACAUAUUCAAAAUAUUUUAAAGCAACUUUCAACAUUACUCAUGAGCUCAUUCAAAAGAAAAUAAAAUUUUGUACUACUUGCACAUAUCUUAUUUCUGUUUCAGAAAAAGGCAUCUGAAAGUCCUCUGACUUUAAUCAUAUGGUAAUACUUUUCUCACAACUGUCAUUGCUUUCAACUCAAGCUGAAUGUCAGUGGGAUAGUAGGCAAGAAAUCUCCUGUUUCAUUCUAGUGGACAUGAGACUGCUAUGCACUUUCCUCAGGAAUGUGUACUUAUUGCAGUGGCCUUGUCUUCCCUGGACCUGCUUUCUUGUGGUGUAGUCUCUUCAGUUAAAGAGCAGUGCCCACAGGAAUGCUUGCAAAGCAAGUUCUGCUGUGGCAAGUGUUAAAAUAAAGCUUUGCAAAUUUCUUGAAAGCAGUUUCUGAAUCUGAGAAGAAUUCAAAGUCAUUGUCCAUUGUGCCCACAGAGGCACAGAAAACCACUUCAAGCUACGAUGGCCUCAAGUUCAAGUGAAUUAUGCCUGAAAGAGAGAAGUGGAUUUCUGUACCCUUUGCCACAGGAUGCUCAUUUUAUGCUUAUUCAGUUUCAAGAUGUGUUAAAUUAGUGUAUAGGACACAUAGUAUCACACCCUUUUCAUUGAGUACAUAAGACAAAUUGUUAAUGAACAGGAUCAGACUCAUUUAAGAGGAUGUUACCAAAAAAAGAAAAUUAUAGGGAAGACAUAAACUGGUCAGAAAGUGAAACACCAGCAGCCGCAAGAGGUCAAAACUAAGGGGUGAAAGGAUUACAAAUAUUUUUAAUAAGGCUUAGAAAUUCUAUCAGUUACACAUUAUUGGUUCUACUAUGCUGCAGGAAUACAGGAAGGGUAGUAUGAACUGCAUUAUUUAUAAUACAACAAACCGCAAUACCUCCAGGAUGUAUAUUAUCCAAUUUUAUUUUGCCACUCAUCACUAUGGUUCCUGAAUGUCAGCACCUUGUUGCCUUACCAGCUGGAUUGGUACAAAAGAUCUUGCUAUUAAUAUGUCAUUCUCGGAGCUGUUGACCUGGCUCCAUGUGAUCCUCAUUUAGCUUAAAGAGGCCAAUCCUGCACAAGCCAAAGACAGUAACUUUGAUAGGGAUAGGAUAGCACUUUAAAAAAGUUAGCCUCUCCAGAGGUCAUUCACUCUUUCACAGUGCUAAACACCCCAAAAUUGCGUUUAAGAGACAUAAUAUCAAACAUUACGUACUAUUAGUGAUUUAAUAAAUGCAAUACAAGUGUGUGCUUUUUUUUUCAAAAGUUACUUCCUUCUGCAUUUGGAAGUGCUAAUUUUGUGUGAAAACUCUUUAAUUUUGUCAAAGUACUGAUAAAAUAAAAUUCUAAUUCCAACCCCUGCAACAAAUUCCACCUUUUUUUUUUUAAUGACAUUUCCAGCCGUUGCAGUCCUAAAGCGGCCUUAAUGAAAUAAUUAUAGUCAUAAUAAAGAAAGUUAUAUUUCCUUCUGGGAACUUUACUUGUCCCACAACCACUAAAAAGGAAGAAUUUAAAGAAUUUAUAUCAAGCAUAUUUUCAAGUUCUAUUUUUCAGGCUACUACUUAAAAUACAGAAUACUGUGUAUAUGUAAAACAGCACAACAAUAUUCCUGAUGAUAACUCUAUGUUUAAACGAUUCUUCUGUCCUGUUAAUAACCUUGCCAGACAUUUUCUAUUUCUUUGGCCUUUCAUGGAUAUCAGACAUGUGCUAACGUGUCUACACAUCCAUACAGAAAAGCACCUUUUUCUUUUCUAUUUACAGGAAAAACAAACCCUUCCUGAACUGUAAUAAAUACAAAAUGAAAAAAUAAAAUCAGCUAGGAAAAAUUGUUUUAGAGAGCAUAGUUCAUCGGGGUGAAUAAUUAAAUCAGUGAGACAAUGUUAAAUAUUUUGUGAAACUGAACAAAUUUGCCUUACUUAUUUUAAAUACAUAUGCAUCUUAUUUAGUCAGCUUUGUGAGCUGGAUAUAUACUAGAUGAGCAUUAAAUUUUAAAUAUGGAAUCAAUGAAAGGAAUUUCAGGUAUACCUAACCUCUUAAAUCACUUAAUUCUAAAAAUUUGUCUAAGGAAGCAAAUAGGUAUCUAUUUCUCGUAUAACAUAUAACAUCACUUGGCUUAUCCUUUUUCUCUUAUUUAGCCCACCCACAAAAAGCACACUCAUAGAUUCAAUAUCUCAAAUAUAUAAUUAUCUUUAGGACUCGUUUUUAACAUUUGAGCUUAUUAGUUAUUAUUUUUUGUACUAAUCACAUGGCUUUUUUCUAGGAUAGCUUGACAAAAGUAACUGCUACAGUUAGAUGGAACUUGUGAUGCUACUGAGAUCUAAAUAUCUCAGGAAUUGAAAGUGACAUGUCAAAGCAACAGGUAAACACGACACGAGAAUUUUAGAAGAUUCUGAAUCUUUGUCAGACUACAAGUCUAUUUUUAACACAUUUUAUGGACUGGACUCUGACCUGUUAUGAAUAUCUAAACCAAUUUGCCAAAGUCAGGAAACAAAAUAACUAUUAAAAUAAGUUAUUCAAGCUUAUUGCACUGCUUAUUUAAGCUGGUUAGAAAUGAAAGUCCUAGCUCAAACAUCCUUCUAAUGUUUUCACUUGUACUCUGCUGUCCCACUGAAGUACAUUGCAUUAAUUAGUAUAUAAUAUCAUUUGGUCAUACAUUUAUAAGGGAGUUUAUGAUCUGGGAGCUAUAAGAUGGAAUUUUCAUAGAGAAUGUAAAAUUUAAUCUUUUUGGUGAAUAUUAGAUAGAGUGGCAAUUUUUAGUAGAAUAUGAUUAAUUGCUACAAAUAUUCAUUACUAAAAUUCAGCAUUUGAUUCCAUGCCAAUCCCACACUUUUUUAUGUAAGGAUCUCUUUAACUUAGGUAUGUCUUUAACAUGACAUGUUCUAUAGUGAAAAUAUUCACUUUGAUCUUAAAAAAAAAAGCUCAAGAAAAUCUUAAAACAUAUGAUAAGUGCUAUUCAUUAAUAAAUCACCAUAAAUUCCAUGAUUCUACCAUUUUUUCCUUUAAGUUUUAGCCUACUGUGCUUCAUGCCAUGCAACUGAAGAAGUUCUGGGCGAGCCAAAGUUGAUACUCAAGUAAACUUUACAAAGAAAACAGUAUGAACACCCAGGUAGCAAAAGCUGUGCAUUUCUGACAGGUCACUGUUGUCCGUACCCAAUAAUAGUCCAUGGAGAACCCUUCAAACUAUUGCUCGCUUAGAAAUAUAUAUCUUUUCUUAAAAUGCAGUAAACUGGUUUUCACAACAGCUAAUAUUUCUCCCAGCAGUAAGCCUAUAUGGAUGUUGACACAGGUGUAUCGAACAUCCCAUGGGGACAAGAGGUUAAAUACUAAUCUACUUGAACUAAACAUAAUCUGUUUAUGGUCUAUCUGCUGUUUGUACCUAUUCAGUAGGUGAGAACAAGGCAUCAGGUAUUAUUGAAUAGUGGCGAUGUGAUUAGUAUCAAGGUCAGAUUUUCUGAGAGGGCAAAAUGAAAUAGGAGCUGAAAUAUCAUUCUGAAGUCAGUGGUCCCUAAAAGAAUAAGUCACUUAAAAAAUAUUGUCAUCUCAAACCAUGUGAGAAUUUUAUUUUUAGUCAGACUAAAGUAAAAUUAUAGAUACAAAAGUGACUUUAAAAGGUUACUUACAUAAUUUUCCUGCCUUAAAGUCAACCGUGCUUAUGAAAUUUCUGACAUCUUUGGCCUAAAAUUGAGCAUCCAGUGACAAAAAUUCCAUAAUAACAGGUACAUUACAGUAACUUAUGAUAAUUUUCUCUGUAAUGUUUCUCCCUCUUAAAUAGUGUAUCCAUGUCUAUCAUGUCAAUUUUCUUGGGCCUGCAAAUGUCCUUAAGCGCUUCAUGAUUGCUAUGCUUCUCAAAAUAAAAACACUCUGCAAAAACAGUGUUUAUGAAACUAUGUAUUUAAAUACAUAUUUAAAUAAAAUAAUCUUUAA